GUGCAGCGACCGACAGAGAACCGCCCAGCCUGGGCAGGAGGGCCGGGUAGCGCACAGGCGCCUACUUUACCCGCUCUGACCCCUUCGAAGAGACAAGGAGGGGCGCCUUGGGGCACGCAGACUGACCCUCUGGGCGCGGGGAGAACUGCGUUGUUAGUCCCGCCAACACUGAGCGUCCCCUGGGUGCACGCUGUGGGCAGAGAAGAAUGCAGUCAGUCGGUGCCCAUUAGGGCCGUCGGACCGGGGAGAGACAAGAAUCAAGUGUGUUUCAGCGAAUGCCAGGCUCUGUGGCCACUGGGGGCUGCCGAGGCCAGGACAACUUCCUCAGAAGUGCAUCGCUUAGGAUCCCAAACAGCCAGAGAGUCCACCUCUGCAGGGCACCUGGGGGCACGGGAUGAGGCACACAGCAGGCAUUCAGUCAAUACUUUCCGAAUGAAUGCAUGCACGAGCGAGCAGUGUCUGCACAUCCACGCCCAGUCAGCAGGGGGAAGGUGAACUUUCACAGGCAUUCUUGGGACAACUGGAGAGCCGUAGAGAAAGAAAAAGAGAUAAGGGUUCAUUUUAUUCCGAAAACUUGUAAAAAACUGGGACAGGGUCAAGCGUUCACCUGGCCUUCCAUGCCCCAAGUGAACUGCGGGGUAGAAAGAAGCCACCGUGCUGGAGGCAAGUAAGGCGGUAUUUCCGGAGACAAUUGUGUGAUGUCUGGGAAUUGCUCUGAGAUAAUCAGCAGGGAGGGGCCGGCAGUCAGGGUAGAGAUUAAAGCAAACGGCCUCUGAGUCCGUCCUUGUUGAGCCGCCGGUGAAUGCAGUGGUGACUCUGUGCACCUUACUUUUGUGUGUGUUUCCAAGUUUCAAAGAGUAGGCUCAUGGAUCUACUUGGCUGAGUGUGGACCGAAAAGCAGCCCCCUCCCUGCCUCUCAGGCCCACAGGCUGUCUCCAGGCCUCAGAACAUUCUGGAAACGCUGCACUCACCUCCCCUCAGUGGCCACUUUGCCAACACCCCUCUGUUCACCAUACUCACCCCAUAUUCCUCCCCUGGGGUCAGAAGCCAAUCGUGGGAGGAGCCUAGAAGUCUAAAGAAGAGAAGGGCAGCUCCUCAUGCACCACCGUCACUGCGUCUGAGCCCCACAUGGCUGCCCCCCCACUGAGACUGAUGCCAGUGCAGCCCUGCCCUUGCCAGCAGGCCGGGAAGGCCCUCCGAAGGCAGUGGCCCUCAGGGGUGGACAGGGAAUCACCUGGGGGCCCUGUAAGCACGUGGUCUUCCUGUGCAGACACAGGUGCGGCGGGCUGAGUGGGGCCCAGGAACCUGCAUUUUUGUGAGCUCCCCUCUCUCCUGGGCAGGGGACGCUGAGGACUCCUGAGUUUGGGCACCGGACCAGGCCAGAAGCCCAGGGGAGUCCUUCCGCUCUGACUUGAUUCCGUCUCCCACACUCGUGGGCCAUGAGACGGCCACUCAGUGGAGUUAACUAGCAUUGACUGUGUGUCCAGCUUGGCGAGCGAGGGGCCCUGCCUUCAUUGGUCUCCCAGCUGGGCAGGCUGACGGAGCUGAAAACGCCAUCACAGCAGAGGCACUGGCAAGGCAGGAGAUCCCGGUGCCAUCGCCCUGUCCCCUCGGUUCACUGCCUGAGCACACCCUGCCCCCUCCUCCUCCAAAGCACCACGCUGAGAGUGGGUGGGAAGACUGAGGGCUGUGUGUGUGC
rnacentral:lncRNA from 1 species